rnacentral:rRNA from 1 species
UGGGGAAUAUUGCACAAUGGACGGAAGUCUGAUGCAGCGACGCCGCGUGGGGGAUGAAGGCUUUCGGGUUGUAAACUCCUUUCGAUGCUGAACAAGGCUCUUUUUAGGGUUGAGGGUAGGUGUUGAAUAAGCGCCGGCUAACUACGUGCCAGCAGCCGCGGUAAUACGUAGGGCGCGAGCGUUGUCCGGAAUUAUUGGGCGUAAAGGGCUCGUAGGCGGUUUGUCGCGUCUGCUGUGAAAGACCGGGGCUUAACUCCGGGGUUGCAGUGGGUACGGGCAGACUAGAGUGCGGUAGGGGUAGCUGGAAUUCCUGGUGUAGCGGUGGAAUGCGCAGAUAUCAGGAGGAACACCGAUGGCGAAGGCAGGUUACUGGGCCGUUACUGACGCUGAGGAGCGAAAGCAUGGGGAGCGAACAGG